GGAAGUUAAAAAUCGUAACAAGGUUUCCGUAGGUGAACCUGCGGAAGGAUCAUUACCGAGUGUAGGGUUCCUAGCGAGCCCAACCUCCCACCCGUGUUUACUGUACCUUAGUUGCUUCGGCGGGCCCGCCAUUCAUGGCCGCCGGGGGCUCUCAGCCCCGGGCCCGCGCCCGCCGGAGACACCACGAACUCUGUCUGAUCUAGUGAAGUCUGAGUUGAUUGUAUCGCAAUCAGUUAAAACUUUCAACAAUGGAUCUCUUGGUUCCGGCAUCGAUGAAGAACGCAGCGAAAUGCGAUAACUAGUGUGAAUUGCAGAAUUCCGUGAAUCAUCGAGUCUUUGAACGCACAUUGCGCCCCCUGGUAUUCCGGGGGGCAUGCCUGUCCGAGCGUCAUUGCUGCCCAUCAAGCACGGCUUGUGUGUUGGGUCGUCGUCCCCUCUCCGGGGGGGACGGGCCCCAAAGGCAGCGGCGGCACCGCGUCCGAUCCUCGAGCGUAUGGGGCUUUGUCACCCGCUCUGUAGGCCCGGCCGGCGCUUGCCGAACGCAAAUCAAUCUUUUUCCAGGUUGACCUCGGAUCAGGUAGG
rnacentral:rRNA from 1 species